rnacentral:misc_RNA from 1 species
AAGGAGCACAAACUGGCUCGGACCGACUUCUUCGGGAGUGUUCGGGUCGGUGGCCGCUGUUGACGGCGAAUGUUCGUAGGUGGCUGCUCAUAGAUGUGGAGCACUGGUUAUUCAGUCUGCGGGCCGUGCGGCCCAGCUGGUACCGCCCCGGGUAACCGGGGAGUGGGAAGGUUGGGUGCGGGUGGCUCGGGAGGCUGGACACGCUGUUGGGUCCUGAGGAAACGGGCAGUCAUGCCCGGGUACCUCUGGAUCGCGGGACCUGUGACCGCAUCACCUGUAUGGGUGGUGCGGUCCUGGUAGGCCCGGUUGUUUUUUUGAGAACUUGCNCCAAGUGAACGCGAAGCAUUUCUGGUAGAUGAUUACGCCUUUGGGGUUCGGAAGACCNUUUUGGUCUUCGGGUGUCUGGGUGUUGUUGUUUAUCUGCGAUUUUGUUUUUGAUCGUUUUUGU